rnacentral:rRNA from 1 species
AGGUGGUGCAUGGUUGUCGUCAGCUCGUGUCGUGAGAUGUUGGGUUAAGUCCCGCAACGAGCGCAACCCUCGCCUCUAGUUGCCAGCAUUCGGUUGGGCACUCUAGAGGGACUGCCGGCGACAAGUCGGAGGAAGUGGGGAUGACGUCAAAUCAUCAUGCCCCUUAUGACCUGGGCUACACACGUGCUACAAUGGGCGGUACAAAGGGCUGCGAACCCGCGAGGGGGAGCGAAUCCCAAAAAGCCGCUCUCAGUUCGGAUUGCAGGCUGCAACUCGCCUGCAUGAAGCCGGAAUCGCUAGUAAUCGCGGAUCAGCAUGCCGCGGUGAAUACGUUCCCGGGCCUU